rnacentral:pre_miRNA from 1 species
AAGCACUUCUGGGUCUGCCAGAGAGCAUGCUGGGGGGGGGACACCCAUGCCCUCUCAACUCAGGGACUGGUGGGCCCCCAGCGUGCUCCCCAGCGGAUCCAGAAGUGGAC